CCUACGGGAGGCAGCAGUGGGGAAUAUUGCACAAUGGGCGAAAGCCUGAUGCAGCAACGCCGCGUGAAGGAAGAAGGGCUUCGGCUCGUAAACUUCUAUUGUCAGGGACGAAGGAAGUGACGGUACCUGACUAAGAAGCCACGGCUAACUACGUGCCAGCAGCCGCGGUAAUACGUAGGUGGCAAGCGUUAUCCGGAAUUACUGGGUGUAAAGGGCGUGUAGGCGGGAGAGUAAGUCAGACGUGAAAGUCCAGGGCUCAACCCUAGAACUGCGUUUGAAACUGUUCUGCUUGAGUGAUGGAGAGGAAGGCGGAAUUCCAUGUGUAGCGGUGAAAUGCGUAGAUAUACGGAGGAACACCAGUGGCGAAGGCGGCUUUCUGGACAUUAACUGACGCUGAGGCGCGAAAGCGUGGGGAGCGAACAGGAUUAGAUACCCUUGUAGUC
rnacentral:rRNA from 1 species